rnacentral:rRNA from 1 species
UAGGGAAUCUUCGGCAAUGGACGAAAGUCUGACCGAGCAACGCCGCGUGAGUGAAGAAGGUUUUCGGAUCGUAAAACUCUGUUGUUAGAGAAGAACAAGGACGUUAGUAACUGAACGUCCCCUGACGGUAUCUAACCAGAAAGCCACGGCUAACUACGUGCCAGCAGCCGCGGUAAUACGUAGGUGGCAAGCGUUGUCCGGAUUUAUUGGGCGUAAAGCGAGCGCAGGCGGUUUCUUAAGUCUGAUGUGAAAGCCCCCGGCUCAACCGGGGAGGGUCAUUGGAAGCUGGGAGGCUUGAGUGCAGAAGAGGAGAGUGGAAUUACAUGUGUAGCGGUGAAAUGCGUAGAUAUAUGGAGGAACACCAGGGGCGAAGGCGGCUCUCUGGUCUGUAACUGACGCUGAGGCUCGAAAGCGUGGGGAGCAAACAGG